UACGAAGGGGGGCUAGCGUUGCUCGGAAUCACUGGGCGUAAAGCGCACGUAGGCGGCUUUUUAAGUCAGGGGUGAAAUCCUGGAGCUCAACUCCAGAACUGCCUUUGAUACUGGGAAGCUUGAGUCCGGGAGAGGUGAGUGGAACUCCGAGUGUAGAGGUGAAAUUCGUAGAUAUCAGGUGGAACACCAGUGGCGAAGGCGGCUUUCUGGACGGGUAACUGACGCUGAGA
rnacentral:rRNA from 1 species